CGGGAACCGACGGGCGGCCGCGGCGAGCGAGGGCCGGACUGCGGGCAGCGGCAAGGACUAAAACCUUGAUAUGAGUGAUUAUUGAAUUCAAGACCACCUUCUCAAAAUAUCAUGUGGCCCAUACAGAGACAUAGACUGAACUAUUCAGAAAGAAUAAUAAAAUGCCAUCUAAAUGUGUGUUUUCAUAGUGAGUUUUCUAUGACGGAGUCAAGUUCACAUGAUGGUGUCUUCUGGAUCAUUCCCACAAAUUGUUCUACCUUUAAUCAGAGCAACUCUGCUCCAUGCAGAAGAAUCUGUCUCUUUUUAGGAGGCAUUCCAUUGGAAGAGUGUCAUGAAGAUUUCAUCUCUAUAGAAACCACGCUUGCCUCUCCU